rnacentral:ncRNA from 1 species
GAGAGCCGUGUGCGGGAAAACCGCACGCACGGUUCGAUGAGGGGGCGCUGGUGUUCGGCGCACGCGGGGGCUCGUGAGGCACCGCCACCCGAAAGGGGCGGGAACAGAUAGGCUCGCGCUACCCUCCGACACCAGUGCUCUACUCUAC